rnacentral:rRNA from 1 species
UACGAAGGGGCUAGCGUUGCUCGGAAUUACUGGGCGUAAAGGGAGCGUAGGCGGGUUAUCAAGUUGGAGGUGAAAGCCCAGGGCUCAACCUUGGAAUUGCCUUCAAAACUGAUAGCCUAGAGUAUGAUAGAGGUAAGUGGAACUCCGAGUGUAGAGGUGAAAUUCGUAGAUAUUCGGAAGAACACCAGUGGCGAAGGCGACUUACUGGAUCAUGACUGACGCUGAGGCUCGAAAGCGUGGGGAGCAAACAGG